rnacentral:rRNA from 1 species
UCCCUACGGGAGGCAGCAGUGGGGGAUAUUGCACAAUGGAGGAAACUCUGAUGCAGCGACGCCGCGUGAGGGAAGACGGUCUUCGGAUUGUAAACCUCUGUCUUUGGGGAAGAAAAUGACGGUACCCAAAGAGGAAGCUCCGGCUAACUACGUGCCAGCAGCCGCGGUAAUACGUAGGUGGCGAGCGUUGUCCGGAAUUACUGGGUGUAAAGGGAGUGUAGGCGGGAAGGCAAGUCAGAAGUGAAAAUUAUGGGCUCAACCCAUAACCUGCUUUUGAAACUGUUUUUCUUGAGUGAAGCAGAGGG